rnacentral:lncRNA from 1 species
GCUGUAACGUUUGCAGCAUGUGUUUCUAUGGAAGUCAUCUUUCUUACUUUCUUUUAUCCAGGCAUCAAAAGGAAAAGAAAAACAAAAAGAAGAAGGCGAAGACUGGAGCACACACACAAUGGUUUUCCCUGUCAUCUUUGCCAAAGAAAAGAAGAAAGGAAACAAACACCAUUGCAUGGACAUUGGCCCUUGAUGAAUCUCCACUGACAGUGAGCUGAUGAAAGCUAUACAUGAGAUACUGAAGGACAAGGCAUGUAAAAGUCAGUCACUGAGGUAAAACAAAUCAUUUCAAACCCCUUAUUGACAGGCAAAAUAGGAACAGUCAAUCUCUGAUGGUAGCUGGUGCAGGGUGUUUCAAGGUGCUGUGUUAGUUACACCACGUAAUGCUCUGGCCCCCAGGGUGACUUUCUUAAGGGUUGGCAGCACCAGCAGAAGUUACUGGGUUUGCUCACAAUGAGAAGUCAAGAAGUUUGUUAGAAGGUAUUUAUUAACGUGAGUACUAGAUAUGGGAUGUAGCAGCCAUUACAGUUUGAUGGCUGCAUUAUCUGUUUUCCUGACCAAGGAAGACAGGUGUGGAAGGACCACUCUCUCCUCCCCAACCCUGACCCCUUCCACUGCAGCUAAUAGUUGCUCUGUUCCCAUGUGAUGGACAGUCUCCCUCAGCAUAAUGGACCACCUUUGGAGGAUGGAGGAGUCAAAAUGCUUAAAGCAUGUACAAACAAUAUUGUUUACACCUUAAAAAUCCUCAGACACAACAGGACAGGUGCCCUACAUUAGGACUGUUGAUAUGGGAGACAGGGCUUGUGCCCACUGGUUUUAAAGUACAGUGACCUGUGAACCUGCAAAUGAUGACGCUGUGCUUUGGAAGUCAGGUAAUUCAUGGAUUUACGUUUACUGUGAGGAGGAGACUCCCUUAAUCACAUGUUGAAGGACUGGCAACACUGCAGGGAAAAAACAAGAAAUCCUGAGAUGAAUUUUCUAGUAAACUAAGAUCACAAAGACCAGUGGGAACUUGGGCAGAUGAGAAAACUCACUGGUGAGGAGGAUUACUUCACACCAGUGUGUGGUUCCCAGGUUAAGGCUGUGAAGGGUGGAGCUUACCUGGGCCCAGUUUUCRGAGGCUGCAGUUGGAUACUAGUCCUUCUCUCCAUCAUUAUUUCAGUUUAGCAAAUAAUGCUUCACUGAAGCCUGGAUUGCUGCACCACAACUUAUGCCRUU